AUUGAACGCUGGCGGCAGGCCUAACACAUGCAAGUCGAGCGAGCGGCGGACGGGUGAGUAAUGUCUGGGAAACUGCCUGAUGGAGGGGGAUAACUACUGGAAACGGUAGCUAAUACCGCAUACCAUCAGAUGUGCCCAGAUGGGAUUAGCUAGUAGGGGGGGUAACGGCGCACCUAGGCGACGCUCCCUAGCUGGUCUGAGAGGAUGACCAGACACACUGGAACUGAGCCACUGUCCAGACUCCGACGGGAGGAAGAAGUGGGGAAUAUUGCACAAUGUGCGCAAGCCUGAUGCAGCCAUGCCGCGUGUUUGAAGAAGGCCUUCUGGUUGUAAAGCACGUUCAGCGGGGAGGCGUUACCCGCAGAAGAAGCACCGGCUAACUCCGUGCCAGCAGCCGCGGUAAUAC
rnacentral:rRNA from 1 species